UGAGUAACCUGCCCUGGACUUUGGGAUAACCCUCGGAAACGGGGGCUAAUACCGGAUAUGACGGCUCACCGCAUGGUGUGGUUGUGGAAAGUUUUUCGGUCUGGGAUGGGCUCGCGGCCUAUCAGCUUGUUGGUGGGGUGAUGGCCUACCAAGGCGACGACAGGUAGCCGGCCUGAGAGGGCGACCGGCCACACGUGGGGCUGAGACACGGCCCAGACCUCCGUACGGGAGGCA
rnacentral:rRNA from 1 species